GAGUUAUGAUGACAGGAAGUCCAGUGAGCCUUUGACUACGCCCUGGCACAGAGUUAAUAUGUUAUGAUCACAGGAAGUCCAGUGAGCCUUUGACUACGCCCUGGCACAGAGUUAAUAUGGGACUAUUUGGUGACAGGUUUACCCUUGAUGUGGCUUGUCUGUGAUGUGAUGCAUUCCAUGAUCGCAUGUAUUUUAAAUGCUUUAUUAUUCUGCUCACUGGGCUCUUGUAGCUCACCCC
rnacentral:lncRNA from 1 species